CAAUAGCGUAUAUUAAAGUUGUUGCAGUUAAAAAGCUCGUAGUCGGACUUCUGGCCGUGAGCGCGGGUCCGCCGCAAGGUGUGCACUCGCGUUGGCGGCCAUCCUCUCGAGGAGGCGGCGUGCUCUUUAUUGAGUGUGUCGUCGACUCGGGACCUUUACUUUGAAAAAAUUAGAGUGUUCAAAGCAGGCCUUCGCUUGAAUACAUUAGCAUGGAAUAAUGGAAUAGGACUUUGGUUCUAUUUUGUUGGUUUCUAGGACCGAAGUAAUGAUUAAUAGGGAUAGUUGGGGGCAUUAGUAUUUAAUUGUCAGAGGUGAAAUUCUUGGAUUUAUGAAAGACUAACAUCUGCGAAAGCAUUUGCCAAGGAUGUUUUCAUUG
rnacentral:rRNA from 1 species